UGGUGGAGCGAUUUGUCUGGUUAAUUCCGAUAACGAACGAGACUCUAGCCUACUAAAUAGACCCCGGUGUUAACUUCUAAACUACCACCGGGGGACUUCUUAGAGGGACAGUCGGCGAUUCAGCCGGACGAAACAGAGCAAUAACA
rnacentral:rRNA from 1 species